rnacentral:lncRNA from 1 species
AGCUAUAAUAGUCUCUACUCCAAUACUUUCUCACAAAACAACACUGAUACAUUUUAAAGAUCUAAGUAUUGUUUCUCAUCUGAUUUAUAUAAUUUAUAUUAUUCUAAAAAUUUUAGUAUGUAAGUCAUAUAUAUAUAUAUAUGUUAUUUAAUUAAAAAGUAACAAAUGUUAUUCACCUUAAUGCAAUCACUAUUUUCUUUUCUUUUUUUUUUUUUUUUUUUUUGAGACGGAGUUUCGCUCUUGUUACCCAGGCUGGAGCACAAUGGCGCGACGUCGGCUCACCGCAACCUCCGCCUCCUGGGUCCAGGCAAUUCUCCUGCCUCAGCCUUGUGAGUAACUGGGAUUACGGUUCCAUAUGAAGUUCAUGGUGGUUUUUUCCAGUUCUGUGAAGAAAGUCAAUGGUAGCUUGAUGGGGAUAGCGUUGAUUCUGUAAAUUACUUUGGGCAGUAUAGCCAUUUUCACAAUAUUAAUUCUUCCUAACCAUGAACAUGGAAUGUUUCUCCAUCUGUUUGUGUGCUCUCUGAUUUUGUUGAGCAGUGGUUUGUAGUUCUCCUUGAAGAGGUCCCUUACGUUCCCUGUGAGUUGUAUUCCAAGGUAUUUUAUUCUUUUUGUAGCAAUUGUGAAUGGCAGUUCGUUCUUGAUUUGGAUUUCUUUAAGUCUGUUAUUGGUGUAGACGAAUGCUUGUGAUUUUUGCACAUUGAUUUUAUAUCCUGAGACGUUGCUGAAGUUGCUUAUCAGUUUCGGGAGUUUUUGGGCUGAGGCAAUGGGGUCUUCUAGGUAUACUAUCAUGUCGUCUGCAAAUAGAGACAAUUUGGCUUCCACCUUUCCUAUUUGAAUACCCUUUAUUUCUUUUUCUUGCCUGAUUGCUCUGGCUAGAACUUCCAGAACUAUAUUGAAUAGGAGUGGUGAAAGAGGGCAUCCUUGUCUAGUGCCAGAUUUCAAAGGGAAUGCUUCCAGAUUUUGCCCAUUCAGUAUGAUAUUGGCUGUUGGUUUGUCAUAAAUAGCUUUUAUUACUUUGAGAUACGCUCCAUCGAUACCGAGUUUAUUGAGGGUUUUUAGCAUAAAGGGCUGUUGUAUUUUCUCAAAUGUCUUCUCUGCAUCAAUUGAGAUAAUCAUGUGGUUUUUGUUUUUGGUUCUGUUUAUGUGGUGAAUUACGUUGAUAGACUUGCGUAUGUUGAACCGGCCUUGCA